CGUUUUUGGUUUUGGUCCCUGUAAUAUAGUCAGGGAUCAUCUGUCACGACACAUAAGCGUUUUUUGCCACAUCAUCCUUUGCCACGUCAGCCGCCGUUAGACAGCGAGGCGUUUUUGUAACGGAAGUUGACGGGAGGGACGAAAAUCAAAAAGUUAUUAACUUACCGGGGUUGUUUUAGAACAAAAAAAGAUACGGGGACGAAAACCAAAAACACGCGAACUUACAGGGACCUUUUACAUAUUUAAGC
rnacentral:lncRNA from 1 species